AGACUUGACUGAAAAACUGAUAGGUCGAAGAAGCCGUCAAGUACAUCUUGUUUAAAAUAGUUGCCAGUAAAUAAAUGUUAUUCUUUAAUGCUUAUCCAUGUGUUUUUUUUUUUUUUUUUUUCAAGAGCGUCUUGUACCUUUUGGAGAUGCCAGAGACAAUAUGCGGUUGUCUACGAGUAUCGUCCAGUGUCAUCGCAGGACAGUCCAUAGUUGUGGUUACAAUGAAUGGUAAGAGGAACUUACUAGGUUUGGGUGGGGGUCAGAAUGUGUCUGCAGAAUUUCACCCACAGCUAUUUGCUGAUCACACCUUGUAUACUCCCUCAUCACAAUUAUGCACAUAUACGGAUCAUGAAUAUGUUAAAUUCAUACAUGUUACAUUGCGCAAGAAAUUUUCUUUAUCAUGGCUGCAAAUCUAGAGGUGUCAAUAGGUUGUGUGUUCAUUUAGAUUGGAUGGGCCCAAGUAUGAGAUGGAAAACAAUUAACCUUUUUUUGAAUGGGGAUAGUUAAUUUGCCUGACAAAAGUAUGACUUCCAAUAGAGUGCCUUACAAAAUGUUUGUAGAAGUGUCCUCCUGAUUCACCUUAGUCACAGGUUCCCAUAUCAGUUGUCAGAAUGACACACUUUGGUCUGUCAGAAUUAACGUUGUGUAUAUAUUUCCUUUUUCCAGGGCGAUAUGAUCUCCGAUUAGAUGCAAAGCAUGUGAAGCCACUUGGAGUCCUGGAGUGGAUGACCUGAUCCGUAAUGACUACUGGCCGGCCACUUCUCACUAUUCAACUGUGUAUGAAACAGAUGUCCUUUUUUCUUUUGAAGAGCUGAAGAUGGCAGCACCAGGGAUAUCUAGCCAAGCAUUUCGUAGAAUGCUGGAUCAACGCACUGUUCGCUUUGGCCGUAAUGGAAACAUCACAGCAGACAGCUUCCGGAAAAGCUUCUUGGAGUGGGAAGCUGUCCGAUUCGAAGUGGACAAAUUAUGCCAGGAGGACCACUUUAACUGCCCAGCAUGCAGCCCAGACAUGCUUGCAGUAUCCGUUGAUGGAAACCGUAAGCACUACAGAUUCAAGAGUGCAGCUAGAUCGGAGGAAAAAGCCAUCUUUGAUGGCGUGUUCAUCACGAAUGAUGAUGACGUCGCAAGAUUCGUGGACUAUGUCCAUACCUCAACCAGUCAUGUACACUUGCUCAACUUCACUAUAUUUACCCAUAAAACACCAAGUCCUACAGAGCACUUUGUUUGAACAAGUUUGGACUGUUAACAAUGUUCCAUGUUUUAGGUCUCUGGAAGAGGUGUCUGUGGAGGGCAAUGGUCAGCGGCUCAUGAAACGUCUCAGAAGUCCUCCGGAAAAACAGACGAGGAGGGCCUGGAACUUGCUGUAUGUCGUCAUGGGGUUCUCCUUCGUGCCCUCAAUAUGUUCAGGGGCGAAAUCUUUGCCUACCCCCUGUACCUCCAAAAGCAAAUGGCCUGUAAGCCAGUUACACCAAGUGUAA
rnacentral:lncRNA from 1 species